AAGAAAGUGAGUCCCGCCCCGGACAGGGGCAGAGCUAAUAAACCGCAAAGAAAGCAAGUUCCAUCGGAGCACAAGCGCAUCAAACGGUUGAAACAAACACCCCCCCGGGCGACGCCC
rnacentral:sRNA from 1 species